GGGCUCACACAAGCGGUGGAGCAUGUGGUUUAAUUCGAUAAUACGCGCGGAACCUUACCAGUCUUUGACAUAUAUGUAAAACUUUACUGAAAAGUAAUUGUACACUUAUACAGGUGUUGCAUGGCUGUCGUCAGCUCGUGUUGUGAAACGUUUGUUAAGUCCUUUAACGAGCGCAACCCCUAUUGAUAUUUACUCUUUUGUUAUUUAUAACCUUUAAGGUAUUCUUAAAUAACAGAAGUACUCUAUUGAUACUGCCAGUGAUAAAUUGGAGGAAGGUAGGAUGACGUCAAGUCCUCAUGGCCCUUAUGGACUGGGCUACACACGUGCUACAAUGGUAAUUACAAAGGGAAGCAAUAGUGUAAACUUGAG
rnacentral:rRNA from 1 species